rnacentral:rRNA from 1 species
GCAUAUCAAUAAGCGGAGGAAAAGAAAAUAACAAUGAUUCCCCCCAGUAACGGCGAAGUGAAGAAGGGAAGAAGCUCAAAUUUGUAAUCUGGCGUCUUCGGCGUCCGAGUUGUAAUCUAUAGAGGCGAUGUCCGUCCUGGACCGCGUGUAAGUCUGCUAAUACGCAGCGUCAUAGAGGGUGUUAACCCCGUAUGUCACGCGGACGCCCAGGGCAUUGUGGCACGUCUUCAAAGAGUCGAGUUGUUUGGGAAUGCAGCUCAAAAUGGGUGGUAAAUUCCAUCUAAAGCUAAAUAUUGGCGAGAGACCGAUAGCGAACAAGUACCGUGAGGGAAAGAUGAAAAGCACUUUGGAAAGAGAGUGAAACAGUACGUGAAAUUGCUGAAAGGGAAACGCUUGAGGUCAGACGUGCUUGGCAGGGCUCAGCCUUUUGGUGUAUUUCCUGCAAAGCAGGCCAGCGUCGGUUUGUGAGGCCGUAAAAGGGUGUGGGGAAAGUAGCAGUUCACGCUGUGUUAUAGACCCAUACUGGAUGCGGACUUGUGGACCGAGGAACGCAGCGCGCUUAUGGCAAGAUCUCCGGAUCUAAUGCGCUAAGGACGCUGGCAUAAUGGCCUUAAACGACCCGUCUUGAAACACGGACCAAGGAGUCUAACAUGCCUGCGAGUAUUUGGGUGUCAAACCCGGAUGCGCAAUGAAAGUGAACGUAGGUGGGAACCGCAAGGUGCACCAUCGACCGGCCCAGAGUCAUUGACAAAGGGUCUGAGUAAGAGCAUGUAUGUCGGGACCCGAAAGAUGGUGAACUAUGCCUGAAUAGGGUGAAGCCAGAGGAAACUCUGGUGGAGGCUCGUAGCGGUUCUGACGUGCAAAUCGAUCGUCAAAUUUGGGUAUAGGGGCGAAAGACUAAUCGAACCAUCUAGUAGCUGGUCUGCU